UACGGAGGGUGCAAGCGUUAUCCGGAAUCACUGGGUUUAAAGGGUGCGUAGGCGGCACUGUAAGUCAGGGGUGAAAGGCUACAGCUCAACUGUGGAAUUGCCAUUGAUACUGCGGUGCUAGAAUGAGAUUGAGGUAAGCGGAAUGUGGCAUGUAGCGGUGAAAUGCAUAGAUAUGCCAUAGAACACCAAUUGCGAAGGCAGCUUGCUAGAUCUUGAUUGACGCUGAGGCACGAAAGCGUGGGGAGCGAACAGG
rnacentral:rRNA from 1 species